rnacentral:rRNA from 1 species
AGAGUUUGAUCAUGGCUCAGGACGAACGCUGGCGGCGUGCUUAACACAUGCAAGUCGCACGGGGGCUUCGGCCUUAGUGGCGGACGGGUGAGUAACGCGUAGGAACGUGUCUUGGGGUGGGGGAUAACGCUGGGAAACUGGCGCUAAUACCGCAUGUCUGCUGCGGCAGAAAGCCUUCGGGUGCCUUGAGAGCGGCCUGCGUCCGAUUAGCUAGUUGGUGGGGUAAAGGCUUACCAAGGCUUCGAUCGGUAGCUGGUCUGAGAGGACGAUCAGCCACACUGGGACUGAGACACGGCCCAGACUCCUACGGGAGGCAGCAGUGGGGAAUAUUGGACAAUGGGCGGAAGCCUGAUCCAGCAAUUCCGCGUGGGUGAAGAAGGUCUUCGGAUUGUAAAGCCCUUUCGACAGGGACGAUGAUGACGGUACCUGUAGAAGAAGCCCCGGCUAACUUCGUGCCAGCAGCCGCGGUAAUACGAAGGGGGCUAGCGUUGCUCGGAAUUACUGGGCGUAAAGGGCGCGUAGGCGGCUGUGUUAGUCAGGCGUGAAAUUCCUGGGCUCAACCUGGGGACUGCGCUUGAUACGGCAUGGCUUGAGGAUGGAAGAGGCUCGCGGAAUUCCCAGUGUAGAGGUGAAAUUCGUAGAUAUUGGGAAGAACACCGGUGGCGAAGGCGGCGAGCUGGUCCAUUACUGACGCUGAGGCGCGACAGCGUGGGGAGCAAACAGGAUUAGAUACCCCAGUAGUCC